GUCAAAACUUACUCAGAGGAUGGUGCCCUGGGCAGGAAGAGGAUGUGAAACUGUGUCACAUUUGGAAGUCUCUGAGGAAUUGAGCCUGUCUGGAGAAGCACCUGAAGCCAUUCUUACCUGAACCUUAAGGAACAGAUGGCACAAUCAACAGAGGAACAACAUGGACUUGAGAGUGACUCAGGGCAUGGUGGGCCUACAGGCUGGCUGGAUGGUGGAUGGUGGCCUCACAGGUCUGAGGAUGCAGAGAUUUGUAGCACACUUAGAAUCUCUGGAAAGAACCUAUGACAAAAUGGCACCAUUAUUAAAGUGUUAGGGUAGUG